rnacentral:rRNA from 1 species
AGUGAACGCUGGCGGUAGGCCUAACACAUGCAAGUCGAACGGCAGCACAGUAAGAGCUUGCUCUUACGGGUGGCGAGUGGCGGACGGGUGAGGAAUACAUCGGAAUCUACUUUUUCGUGGGGGAUAACGUAGGGAAACUUACGCUAUACCGCAUACGACCCACGGGGGAAAGCAGGGGAUUCUCGGACCUUUGGCGAUUGAAUGAGCCGAUGUCGGAUUUGCUAGUUGGCGGGGUAAAGGCCCACCAAGGCGAUGAUCCGUAGCUGGUCUGAGAGGAUGAUCAGCCACACUGGAACUGAGACACGGUCCAGACUCCUACGGGAGGCAGCAGUGGGGAAUAUUGGACAAUGGGCGCAAGCCUGAUCCAGCCAUACCGCGUGGGUGAAGAAGGCCUUCGGGUUGUAAAGCCCUUUUGUUGGGAAAGAAAAGCAGCAGGUUAAUACCCCGCUGUUCUGACGGUACCCAAAGAAUAAGCACCGGCUAACUUCGUG